rnacentral:rRNA from 1 species
UACGUAGGCAGCGAGCGUUGUUCGGAGUUACUGGGCGUAAAGAGUGCGUAGGUGGUUCUCUAAGUUUGGUGUGAAAUCUCCCGGCUCAACUGGGAGGGUGCGCCGAAAACUGGGGGACUAGAGUGUGGGAGAGGAAAGCGGAAUUCCUGGUGUAGCGGUGAAAUGCGUAGAUAUCAGGAGGAACACCUGCGGUGUAGACGGCUUUCUGGACCACUACUGACACUGAGGCACGAAAGCGUGGGGAGCAAACAGG